CUCUUAGUGGCGAACGGGUGAGUAACGCGUUGGUGACCUGCCUCGAAGUGCGGAACAACUCCGGGAAACUGGAGCUAAUACCGCAUGUGGUCUGUGGAUUUAGAAGCCACUUACUAAAGGUCUUCGGAUCGCUUCGAGAGGGGCCUGCGUCCCAUCAGCUAGUUGGUAGGGUAAUGGCCUACCAAGGCGACGACGGGUAGGGGACCUGAGAGGGUGAUCCCCCACAAUGGAACUGAAACACGGUCCAG
rnacentral:rRNA from 1 species